CCUACGGGGGGCAGCAGUGGGGGAUAUUGCACAAUGGGGGGAACCCUGAUGCAGCGACGCCGCGUGGGUGAAGAAGCGCCUCGGCGCGUAAAGCCCUGUCAGCAGGGAAGAAAAUGACGGUACCUGAAGAAGAAGCCCCGGCUAACUACGUGCCAGCAGCCGCGGUAAUACGUAGGGGGCAAGCGUUAUCCGGAUUUACGGGGUGUAAAGGGGGCGCAGACGGCGAUGCAAGCCAGGAGUGAAAGCCCGGGGGCCAACCCCGGGACUGCUCUUGGAACUGCGUGGCUGGAGUGCAGGAGGGGUAGGCGGAAUUCCUGGUGUAGCGGUGAAAUGCGUAGAUAUCAGGAGGAACACCGGUGGCGAAGGCGGCCUGCUGGACUGCAACUGACGUUGAGGCCCGAAAGCGUGGGGAGCAAACAGGAUUAGAUACCCCAGUAGUC
rnacentral:rRNA from 1 species